rnacentral:rRNA from 1 species
CCUACGGGGGGCAGCAGUGGGGAAUAUUGGACAAUGGGGGCAACCCUGAUCCAGCCAUGCCGCGUGUGUGAAGAAGGCCCUCGGGUUGUAAAGCACUUUCAGUGAGGAAGAACGCCUGGUGGUUAAUACCCAUCAGGAAAGACAUCACUCACAGAAGAAGCACCGGCUAACUCCGUGCCAGCAGCCGCGGUAAUACGGAGGGUGCGAGCGUUAAUCGGAAUUACUGGGCGUAAAGCGCGCGUAGGUGGCUUGAUAAGCCGGUUUGUGAAAGCCCCGGGCUCAACCUGGGAACGGCAUCCGGAACUGUCAAGCUAGAGUGCAGGAGAGGACGGUAGAAUUCCCGGUGUAGCGGUGAAAUGCGUAGAGAUCGGGAGGAAUACCAGUGGCGAAGGCGGCCUUCUGGACUGACACUGACACUGAGGUGCGAAAGCGUGGGUAGCAAACAGGAUUAGAUACCCUAGUAGUC